rnacentral:rRNA from 1 species
GGCUCAGGAUGAACGCUGGCGGCGUGCUUAACACAUGCAAGUCGAACGAAGAUGCCGGAGUGCUUGCACUUUGGCAGACUGAGUGGCGGACGGGUGAGUAACGCGUGGGUAACCUGCCUUAUACAGGGGGAUAACAGUUGGAAACGACUGCUAAUACCGCAUAAGCGCACGGUAUCGCAUGAUACAGUGUGAAAAACUCCGGUGGUAUAAGAUGGACCCGCGUCUGAUUAGCUAGUUGGUGAGGUAACGGCCCACCAAGGCGACGAUCAGUAGCCGGCCUGAGAGGGUGAACGGCCACAUUGGGACUGAGACACGGCCCAAACUCCUACGGGAGGCAGCAGUGGGGAAUAUUGCACAAUGGGGGAAACCCUGAUGCAGCGACGCCGCGUGAGUGAUGAAGUAUUUCGGUAUGUAAAGCUCUAUCAGCAGGGAAGAAGAAAUGACGGUACCUGACUAAGAAGCACCGGCUAAAUACGUG